rnacentral:rRNA from 1 species
AGAAUCAACGCUGGCGGCGUGCCUAACACAUGCAAGUCGAACGAGAAAGGGGUAGCAAUACCCUGAGUAAAGUGGCGCACGGGUGAGUAACACGUGACUAACCUACCCUUGAGUGGGGGAUAACUGAGGGAAACCUUAGCUAAUACCGCAUAAUACCCACGGGUCAAAGGAGCAAUUCGCUCGAGGAGGGGGUCGCGGCCGAUUAGUUAGUUGGCGGGGUAAUGGCCCACCAAGACGAUGAUCGGUAUCCGGCCUGAGAGGGCGCACGGACACACUGGAACUGAAACACGGUCCAGACUCCUACGGGAGGCAGCAGUGGGGAAUUUUGCGCAAUGGGGGAAACCCUGACGCAGCAACGCCGCGUGGAGGAUGAAGUCCUUCGGGACGUAAACUCCUUUCGAUCGGGACGAGUUAUGACGGUACCGGAAGAAGAAGCCCCGGCUAACUUCGCGCCAGCAGCCGC